rnacentral:tRNA from 1 species
UGGCUCAGUGGUAGAGUGCUUGCCUCGCAAGCAUGAGGCCCUGGGUUCAAUUCCUCAG